UCCCUGAUGGCUAAGACAGUAAAGAAUCUGCCUGUAAUGCAGGAGAUCCAGGUUUGAUCCCUGGGUUGGGAA
rnacentral:tRNA from 1 species